GUGUGUGUGUGUGUGUGUGUGUGUGUGUGUGUGUGUGUGUGUGUGUGCGCGCACACACACAUAAGUAUAGUAUAAAACAUAUAAGACAUUACCAGCCUUGUCUCUCUGGGUGUCCAAACAGCACACGUCUGAGUGGCUGAGUGGUGGGGCAUCAUGUCCUGGCUUGUCCUCCCCCUGCUCCAGCAUUAUAUGCUUGUGUGCACAUCAUCAAGUGUGAGAUGAAAAUUACUUGCUAAAAUUGAACAAGCACAAAUAUUUUCCCUCCAUUCCUGGCACACAGACACAUGAUUUAGAGCUCAGUUUGGGUAGCAGCCAACAUUCCUAUAGACAGUGAAGGCAGUGAGAGGCACAUAUCAGCAUGAGACAAGCAAGAUCCACACAUAACCAACAUCACAAAGGUGUGAGGAGCAAGCCUGUGGCUGCCCUGCCACCCUCAGUGCAGAGCUGCCAGCCACUCAGACCACCAUACAGUGAAUAAGUGAAGCACAACAUAAGGCACAAAAAGAUAUCAACGUUCCAGUACUACUGUUGUAUUAGAUGUACCCUGCAUAUGCAUUAACCUCUUGGACACACAGACAGACGGAUGCGUAGAGAUUUGCUUAUACGCAUGUGUCCAUGUUGCUUUCAGUGGCAUAUCAUAAUUUUAGCCAUAAUACGUAAUCCCUUUUUAUGUCAUCGUGUACUGUGGUGUGUCUGUGUGUCGUAGUACUGCCUGUGUAGCCGAUAGUCUUGUACAGUGGGUGUGGGAAGGUGGUGUCUGGCAGAGGGAGUGGGGCAGUGCGGCGCUGGUGCUGGAGGCGCGGUGCUGUUGUGCUGUGUCCGCGCCGUGUGGCAUUUAUCCAAGCUUUUGUGUUUACAUUUAACUUUGAACCAAGAAUUUAUGAUACAUUGCAUGUUAUAAUUAUUGCCUUACAAAUAUUAUAUGUACUCAUUUAAUUUGUGAAAGGUUUUCGUUUCCAGGAGAUAUUGCAGAUCUGUUUUCAUUAUGGAAGUUAGUUAAUAAUAGUAAGUGUACGGAGCAAACUUUCAAGGACAUGCAAAUUCAUCAACACUUUUCACUGUAUUUUUGGUAAGAGUGAAACUAAAAUACUUUUAAGUGAUUACAAAAAUCACUCUCAUCUUUAUCUUUCAUAGAGCCAAAAAAUUAAAGCAUGCAGUUUACUGAAGAGACAGUUAAUUUUAUCAAUCCCAUAAUAGAAAAUAAUGACAUUAAACGAAUCAUCAUGAGACAACCAAUAAAUAGGUAUCUUUCACAGUACCAGCAUUAUAACAAGUGAUUUACUAAAGAAACAGUUAAUAUUAUCACUCCCAUAAGAGAAAGUAAGAACACCAAACAAAAUUAUGAUGUAUGAUGAAACAAUUGAUAAGUAACACAUCUAACUUAUGCCAAAACAGUAACUGACAGACAUCCUUGAGCUUUUCAGAAAUUUGGAAAAUCAGACUGUCUUUCCUGUGUAUAAAAAUAGCAUAUAGGAAAAGGAGCAGCAAUUUAGAAAUUAUUAUAUCGUGUAAGGAGACUCGCCAACGUCAUGAAGCGUUGAAUCGAAAAGCAUGACAAUAUUAACCCUUUAACUGAUACAGCUGUCUUUGUUAGCAUAGAGAUCCUUGUAAUAAAUUGUUUGGAUGGACAAAGAGAAAGAGAAAAAAGAAUAAGGUUAAUUUCAUCUUUGCUUAGCUUUAGAAAUACAUUUUUAAGAGAUUAGUACAAAAAAUAUCUAUUAAAAGUUUAAAUGAUAAUGGGAAAGAUCAGCAAGUAUUUAAAGGGUUAACAAACUUACUUUUUUUUAUUUCUCUAUAUUUGUUGAAAGGAGUUAAACUGAGAAGGGGAGAAAAGCUAGAUGCAUUUGACAGAGUUGUUUACUUACAUUGAACUUUUAAGAGUUGAUGGGAAUGGUUUGGUUUGGUAGAGAAUAUAGAAUAAUGAAAGUGCUUUGUGGUUACAUAUUUACUUUUAUUAUUAUGAUUGCUGUUUUCCUCCUCCUCCUCCUCCUCCUCCUCCAGCUUCAUUAUUCUAUUUCUCAUGUGUGGUAUAAUUUUCACAGCCAAUCCUUUUCUCUUCAACAGUUCAUUUUCAUGCUUCUCCUUUGAUAUGAAAACCACACCAUUGCUCCAUAUUCCAGCCUCAGUUGUGUGUGUGUGUGUGUGUGUGUGUGUGUGUGUGUGUGUGUGUGUGUGUGUGUGUGAGAGAAUAACUAGCUGGUAGACACACUCACUAUACAGAGAAGAGACUAUGUAUGUAUGUAUAUUUUUAGUCCUUUUUUUUAGUUAGAUUCUUUAGGACGUGAAUAUAUAUAUAUACCUUGAACCUCUAUAGUAUGAAUGGUAUAUGUGACUCUUAGUUGGAUCAAAGUAUAGACGUAUUUUGGAGACGAGACAACACAAGCUGGGUUUAAAUCCUCUAAUAAUACAGCUAGGUUAAUGUAACUCUAAACUUUAACGUAUAGUCACGGUAUGAAUUAUGUAAGAAUGUCAGUGUGUGUGUGUGUGUGUGUGUGUGUGUGUAUUGGAUAAAUGUGUUUCAGUAUAUAAUGUUUUGUAAACCAAAUUUGUGCUGCAUUCACUGGAAAAUAUCUCAGUCACUUCAUAUAAUAUCUACCUAUUAUUGCAUUUUUUUUUUUUCACAUUUUUAUAUGAAAACACUGCAGAACUUUACUCAUGCUUACUUCUGUGAAUCCUUGACUCACACUGUCUGCUGGAAUGGAUGAGGGUACACAGUGGUACAGUCCAGAACUCAAGUAACUUUCUGCACCACUGCUUAACAUUCUCUUCAAGUCUUAACACUCGUAUUCUGAAACACUUUUGUAGUGUACCUCUACUACAUUCAAAAAGCCUCUAAUUAAAGUUACAGGGGUUUUUAAGUGUGUUUUUAUAGUUUUAGUGACAGAUUAACAUGAUUUCUGCAUUAUUAACUGGAAAAAACACUUCAGAAUCUCUGUGGUAUUUGGAAAUAGUCAUGGUGAGACAGCAAAGCAUUUCAGAUGACAAAUCUAAGUCCUCUGAUCUGUCCUAAGUCUCCUGCAGAAAGCUGAUAGAUUGUUGACCUAUCCAUCUAUGUACCAGGCCAGCAGUCCCACACACAGCACAGAUAAAGCACCACAAACUUUUACACACAAAAGAGUGAAGAAAGAUAUGAAAGAAUAUAGUUUUCCUGACAGAGCAAUCAGCCAGUGGAAUUCAUUGACCAACAAAAUUAGAAGAUAAAUAUGAAAAAUUAACUGAAAGAUGGAUAUGAUCUUGACUCAAUACUGUGAAAAUACAUUUAGGUGAGAACAUCAUUCACACUGAGCCCCAUCAGCCCCUGGUGGAAACAGCAGAUGAGAGGAUGUAAAAUUGAGGAAAGCACAAAAUGGAAUGUUAGUGAGUGCAAAUUGUUACUUGACUUUUGUUCGUGUACAGUGCAGUGUCAAGUGUUAGGUGCAGAUUUUAGUUCAUGGCUGAGCUGUAUGAGGAUCUCACAAGUUCUGAUUACUCCGUAGAGUUUGUUUUUGUUCCCUUCUUCCUACUUUUGAGUUAGACGUCAAUGAAAAUGAAGUAGAGAGGUUUUACUGUUGUAGCGCGUUAAUGCUGUGAUAGUAUAGGGUCUUCAGUAUUUUUUGAGUAAACAUUAUAUAUGACACUUCUUAGAAAUUAUGAAGGAAAAAGAUCUUUGAAGAACUAUAAUAAAUCAUAUGUAUAUAAUAUCAAUCAUAAAGUGAAGAGGACAUUCAGAAGGUCUAUAUAAUUUUUUUCCUUUUUUUAAUAUGAAUUGCAUGUUUUGUUUUUUAUGUAUUUUUAGAAGAGGUUGGAUACGUGUACAUAUUUAUUUAACUGACCGAAGUAAAUGAAGUUACGUACAUACAUAUUAAGACGUGCAAACAUAACGUACAUACAUACAUACAUAGAAGAAGAGAUAUCAAGAAUAUUAUAGCAUCUUUUUUGCAAGUCAUAGAUUAUUAUCUUGUCUGCAUUUGCUUAGUGUGUGAUGGCAAACUUUAGAUAUACAUAAUGUACUAUUCUUUAUCAGGAACAAAGGAAACACCAAGUUGGUUCAUUUGUUGCUUCCUGUGUUUAGCUUUAUAGAGUUUGUCUGGAGGUGCCAACCCUUCCCUUCCCACUGCUCCCUCUCAGCAUUCAUUCAUUGAGGGAGGAGGAGUGGAGGCAGGAGGACAGGAGUACACCACAGAUGAAUUUUCUAAUAUACAUGUAAAUAGUUAGGUACUUUGUGUGUGUGCAGUUUUAAUUUUAUAACUUGACUGUUUUUCAAGUGUUGGUAAAGUCACAGUCAGGAGUGGAGCAGUCUACCUCACUCCCUUCCACUGUGCUGAGCGUUUGGCCUCAGUUGUGGGUCCUCUGAUCUGCUGAGUCUUGCUUGUUCACGGAUAGACUGCCAAUAGACCAGAGAACUUCACUCCUUCACUGGUAAAGAUAAUACAACACUUUCUUUCAUUUGAUUCAACCUUGGUGAAAUUAAGUGAGCAAAAUUAAAUUGUACCUGAGGUACAAAAAAUUUUAGACUGUUCACUUAUUUUGGUAUUUUAGCUUUCAGAAUUACAUCUAAACUCAAACUAGACUAUUUUGUGAAGCUUCAAAGUGUCGCAGAAGUGCAGAGAUUCAGAGUGAGGACAAAUCUUAAGUGCAGCAGAAGGGAGUGAGGCAGACUGAUCAACCUCUGGUUAUUAUUGUGCAUCCAUGUCACAUUCUCAUAAUAAGGCGAGUGGCACACAGGGGCGGUGGUGUCCAGGAGUGAGUGUUCACCACCAGCGCUUGGCAAUGUCCUUCUGUAUUCAUAUUCACCUUAUUUGACCAUUUCAUAUUUGUAAAGAAACCGACCCACAACAAUGGCUGUCUAAGCUUGAUAACCUUUUUUUUUAUAUAUAUAAUUGUAUAGUAUAUUUUAAAUUUAGCCAUAAUGUAGUACUUAAUACUGAGUGUGAAAAAUCUGAUACUUGCUGAAAAAUUCUCCAUUACUGUACAAGGAUGAGCAAGGCACCGACAGCAGUGGCUUGUGUGAUCCGCAAGCAGGGAGGCUUGGCGGACUCACUUCCCCCAGAUAAUCCACCUGAUUACCUCCAUUAUUUACACAUCAUCCGUCUUUUGUUCACUUGUCAUGUAUUAGCAUAUUUAUUUAUAUAUGUGCAAGAUUUGUUAUUGAACUCAAAUGACAUUUCAUGUUCCUGUUUUUUUUUUUUUCUGGUUCUCAUUAAAAUCUCAUUAACAUAAGAAUAAUGCCUUUUCUAUUUUAUAUUCUGAACACAUUAAUCAACACAAGCAUCAUAUUCAUAUCUAUUAUCAAAAUUUACUAUUAACAAUCAAAGAUUUUUGUUUUCAUGUAUGUGCAGAAGUGUUUUCCAUAAUGUUUCCUUGUAAAUCUUCCUAGUUUUAGUUAACUCACAUUCUUUCCCAUUUAAAGCGCAUUGAGAUUUGUAUCAUCUUGAUUUUAUUCUUUCUCUUUGAUUAUUAUUACUAAUAACUUUGACUCAAAACUCGGAGUGUGAGUGGUUUCAGUUUGGUGGAGCUGAGAUCCUGUCCAAGCAGAUCCCAAGUGAUUCCCAAAGAGACAAAUUUAGCAUCUUGUUACUUGUUGUGGUGUUGUGUUGCUCCUCACUAAGAGAAGGGAAGAGUCCUUGGCUGUAAGAUGUCAAUGUUCCUCUGAAAUAAUACUGUUCAUGGUUGACUAUGUCACUGCUAAAUGUCAUCAUUGUUGCCUGUGUCAUGGUGUCAUGUUAUAUCAACUUCAGCUGUGUGUCUGGUGCAGGCCGAAGGUGAGGAGGUGGAGGUGCAACACUCCAGCCUGCAGGAAAGGUUUGGGAGUGGCAACAGAGGACUGCACAUGUGUGUGUGUGUGUGUGUGUGUGUGUGUGUGCAUCUACUUAAGUCCCCUCUAUUGGUCCAUGCUAGCAUAAUGAAUCUGUUAUUAAUUUGUUUAUUUUAAGGCACGUCGUAUAUAUAUUGACUUUAUCGGGCAAGGUUUGUGUUUGAGAGCACAGAGAUUCCUGUAUCAUAGUGUGAGGCAUGUGCUGUGUGCUUGUCAUCACUUGGUUUUGUAAGCAUUGAAAUUUUUGCUGUACAGUGAAAACUGUUAUUUUUCUAGUGUUAACAGCUGUAAUGGGCCCAGAUCAGCAACAAGAUGAGAAUUUAUUACUAAAUGUACUCGUCUGUUACUCUUCUCAUUCUUGUUGGCGGAGGUGCGGGGCGCGGUGAGAGGGGCGGGGCCAGCCCGGCACAUGAGGGGCGGGUCUCUGUACUUAAGGAUGCUGUGAAAGGUUAAUCCUGUCCAUUUCUUAUACAGUAUAUUGUGUUUCUUGGCAUUGACUUGUUGUGAAUUUUGAAGUGUCGUCAUUUACAACAUAAACAUGUGCUGCUGUAUCUGUACCUCUCGAGAGUGGAGAAUUCAACAAAGUGUCAUUUUAUAGCAUGUCCUUCAGUACUUUGGCCUCGUAUGUGCCUAUUAUAUAAAUACAUAUAUAUGAAAGAAUUGCUAUAUAAAUAUAUGAACAGAUAUAUUGUAUUUAAAAAAAAAAUCUAAAUACAGUCACCAUAUCUACCCUCCAUUACCUAGGACUAGACCAGUAUACCCUAGCGCUGGCCAGCGAUGGCGGCUUCGGCACCACCGCUAGGCUACCCGUGUCGGCAGGACUGUAAAUGUUAUGUUAGUGUUGUGGUGUGAGGUACGUCAAGGCUCCCCACAUAUAUCAAUGAACUUGUAGGUUGACUUGUUACCACCUAUAGAAGUAUUGGUGCUUUUUUUCAGUGUUAUUCCAGCAAAAGGUGCGUCAGUCACGGCAGCGUGGCGGCGAUUCAGUGUGUUUUGUAUCAGUGGUUGGAUUGGCUGUGGUUUGGUUAGUUGAGCCACGUCUUAUGUUCAGGAUAUCACAGUACUGCUACUACUACUACUGCUACCACGACAAACACAAACACAUAUCGCUCUCCGUGUUUGAGGUCAUCAUGAGUUCACGUGUUUGAGUUGGUCAUUAGUGACUUGUAGCUGUUCAUUCUUCAGGAGACUCGCACCCCGUUUUUUUUUUUUUUUUUUUUUAUUUACUUUUAUUUAUUUAUUUUAUUUUUUUUUUUUUAUUCGCAGAGGUUAUUAUUGUUGUUGUGACAAGUAUUUCCCUGUGUAUAUUGUAUUACACUCACACAGAUGAGUUCAUAUCCUUCUCUAGUGAUUUAUUAUUAUUAUUAUUAUUAUUAUUAUUAUUAUUAUUAUUUGUGUGGGGUUCGUCACUUGUAUUGUUUGUCCCUCUUCUGAAAGUCCCUAGUCCACGGACGGUUUAAAGCUUCAGUAUGUAUAUAUAAAUUGACAAAUAUAUCAUUAUAUUAAAUAUAAAGAGCAGUUCAUGCACUUUCCAUCUUUCCUGUGUGAGAGGCGUGAAACUGUCUGCCUGACCGUUUUUCUGUUUGUCUAUCUACUGUUUUUAUCUCAAGCCAGUCGAAAGGAAGUCGAUACUUCCUUUCCAUGAUAAUCUAAUGUAGUUAGUUGAUUAGACUAUCAUAUUCACUUUUAGACAACUUUUUUUCAUAAUCACUAUCAGCUUGAUAUGUUACGCAUUCUUUGUACUGCUUUCACUUAAAUAGUUUUGUAGCUUAGAAAAGCAUAAAUUUUCUUUAUUUCUUUAUUUUUAUUUUAUUUUAUUUAUUUUAUUUUUUUGCGUGUGUGUAAACAAUCAUUUAUUUAUUUAUUUAUUUAUUUAUUUAUUAUUAUUUUAUUUUUUUUACAAUGGUCUGAAUGUUACCAAUAGACCAUAUGAAUAAAAGGAGUUAGGUAGGAAUGUAAUAGGAUUCUGGGGGCCUGCAUGAUUCAUGCACAAGGUAACCAGGCAACCAGUCAUCAUGUAUUGAAGGAGGAGGUAAAGGUGCAGCCAGCCCUCUCGAUGGGUAAGUAGUUGUUUAUCCUGCUUGUGUAUUCAUAACAGGGAUAAUUAUUACUGUUGUCGCAGAAGAAGAGGAAGUAUUAUAUAACACUGCUUUUUAACCAAAAGUUUUAUUUCUCAAGACUAUUUUCAAAGUCCACAGAGAUGAUUAGCUGAGUCCUCGUUUUCUUUUUUUUUUUUAUAGACUACUUACUACUUAAACUAUCAUUUGAGUAGUAAAAAAAAAAAAACAUCAGAGCCUGUUAACCCUUUCACAGUAUGGCACAUCUCUUCUUAAUUACUAAUCACUGAGACGUCUCCUUGUCUUACAGUAACUUCCAAACUAGAAAUUGCAGAAUGUAUUCUUCUAAUCCCUUUCUUUCUUUUACAUGUGGAUAGUAAAGAUUUUAUAUAUUAUUUAUAUGGUGGUGUAAAUUGGUGCGUAUCGCGGCGAAAUCUUUGGGAAAUUGGUUGUAUUUCUAUCUACCUUAAGCAAUAUCUUGACCAACUUCAGCAUUACUUGGGAUUAGUCUUAUCAUUCCUUUCUCUCUUGCACUUUUCACUAUCUCGUUAAGUAAAUAUUCACAUCCACUCAUCGUUAAAUGCACCUACUUGCAUGUUGCAGUUGAUCUAAUCAUUCACAAACAUACCUGGGCAGCGACACAUUGCAGUUACCACGCAAUUACUGCGGUCAGGUAGUUCUUUAAUUACUUUACAGGUAUUUUCAAGUGAUCAGGUAACGUUCCUAUUCUUGUAAUAACUAAUUUCAUCACUAUGGAGGAAUUAUUCACUUGAGUACGUAGAUAUGACCUGAAAGAGAUUAAUGAGAUACGGAAACUACAAUGACGAGUGGUAGAAAGAAAUUAAAUGUAAUUAAUCAAGAGAGAGAGAGAGAGAGAGAGAGCUUAUUAUGUCUUUAUGGGGGGACGGAGGUAGUGGGAGGAAUCACGUGACCAACUCUUGCUUCUCUAAUGCGACGCCGUUGGUUUCCCAGUGCCUCGGUAGAUGUCAUGGAGGAAGGAUGUGUGGUGCUGGUCUUCUGAAUGUUUGUUCCUGUGCUGUGGGAUACGUUUUGUGGGUGAUUUAUGAGUACGUGAAGCUGUAACGCCGCUGCCUUCACCAUCACGUCGUUCCAGCACAAGUGAUGACCUCCGUUGCUGCUGCCGCCGCCACCACCACCUGCAUCUUGGGACUGCAGAUGUCAUUCUCUUUGGGAGAGUACCUCAUUGUAUUCUGGGAUAUGUGGAAUGUUUUGUGUGAAAUUUAGUGGAGGUUAAGCUGUGAAUUCUGAAAUCGCGUAUCCAGGUUAAUUCAUUGUCUUCAACAGGUGUUGCUUUACCACCAGCUAGUGCACUCCUCAGCUGCCGCCACUAGGAAGGAACAUCAGUAACUUCCCUCCAGAACCCCUUUGUGUUCCAUACUAUAUCACCUUUUGCGUCAGUGUUCCAUACUAUAUCACCUUUUGCGUCAGACUCAGUUGCCGGUAGUGUUGCUGGUGAGGAGCUGCUGUGUGUGUAAGAGUUCUAAGGACUCCCAACUUUUUAUUUAUUUAUUUAUUAUAAUUUAUUAUUAUUAUUAUUUUUUUUUUUUUUAUAUAUAUAUGUCCUGGUGAAAGGAAAUAAUUGAUCUCCGGAGAGUCUUCGAGGUAAAAUUAUGUAAACUUGAAUUUAGUAUUGUUCGCCAGAGAGUCUUCGAGGUAAAAUUUAGUAUUCCUCUCCGGAGUCUUCGAGGUAAAAUUUAGUAUUCCUCUCCGGAGAGUCUUCGAGGUAAAAUUGUGCUCGUUUGAAUAAAUUGUGCGAGACUUUAUAGCAAGCAUUUGGUUAGGUUUUCUUACCUUGGAUGUCGUCAUACAGAAUAUGAUGUAGGAUCAAUGACUGGAAUGUUUUGAGUUGAUCUAUCACAACUCUACAUCAAGGAGGCGGUGGAAGUAUAUGUGGCUUCUUCAGCAUUUAUUGACAAACACAAAACCAGGUAAUGCACCACUGGACUCUUCAAACAACAAGGCAUGUGUCACUGAGGAACAAACAUCCACUGGGUACCAAUAUCAGACAAGACUUUAUACAGAGGAACAAACCAAAGCAGACAAGCAAGGUUAAAAAAGAAAAAAUUACCCGUCAUAGGGAAGGUGAGCUACUCUGCUCACCUUCCUUGGUUUCUGUCGGGGUUUGUCGGACCUUCCUUGGUUUCCGUUUGACGUACACUAGUAUACACUAAUGACCACAAAUGUUGGUACAACAGCACUUUAGAAUGCAAGGAGGGGCUGUUAUACCCCUUUGACUAGAUCUUUGCAUGACAUCCUAGUGCAGGCAUGUACACAAUGGGACCAUAUAUGAUGGAUAGAGAUGUCUGCUGUGUGAAGUUUAUCUUCAGACUAGAAAAGCAGUCAUUGCUGUGAUCAACGUUUUUAAUUUUCAUUAGUUUUCAGAGCAGAUUAUCCCUUAAUUUCUCCCACUACACUUCACUCAUGCCUCUCAAAGUGGAGUGGUGGAAAAAUCCAAGUGGAAUGGAGUGGUGGCGAGGAAAUCAAUCAGGGACAAGAACUUUUUCUUCCAAUGAAAACUCAACCUUACCUUUUUCAGUUUUCCUUGAAAACUUAGAGGCAACAGUAGAAAAGCUACAAGUACAUCAGCUUCAUCCUGUCUUUCUCAUGACCAAAUUAUCUUCAUAGUGCAGAGAUUAUAUUACAGGCACAUUUAGACAAAUUACCUUGUCACUAAGGAUUGGUAUAUCUUCCUGUGAUCUCAUUACUGCAUUCUGGGCACUUAUGACAGAAACCAAGGGAAGUGUCCACUCAACAUAAAUGAGAUGAGACUGAACAGGUCUUCAAUUUGACAAAUAGGUGGCAAGGUGUGGAGUGGGAUCAACACAAGUGACGAUGGCGAUGCAGACACAUAAUCAUCACGUGCUAACCUAAAAAAUGCAUUGUGGUACAUUUAGUUUUCAUAAAUCCAAAAAAUAUAUAUACAUUUGUAAGGUAACAGUUCUAUGCAUUUCUGACAAGGGUCCAGCCAGCCACCUCUCCCCUCUUUGUGCCUUGGGUCUUUGGCGAGCUGACUGGCAACAGCAGAUUCUCCCUCCCUCCUCUGACUAAGCUUACUGGAAAUAAUGUUAGGGAGUGUGGCUGGCUGUCCCCAUUAUCCUGAACAACACCCAGGCAGACUGGCCAGAGAACCUUGCAUAAUUCCAAUCAGACACGCAUUCACAAUUUGUCAAUCAAGUCAUCCUAAUAAUAAAUGUAUGAUUUUUAGGCAACUUUAGGAAAUGAGGGAAUGAACAGCCUAAUGUGAAAUUUUUAAAUAGUUAAACCACAUCAUAGAAAAAAUUCCUCUGACACUUUGACACUCAGCUUUCAGCCACCUGCCAAGUACUAACCAACUGACUGACUGACUGGCACACCAACACCGACACACCCAAUUGAGCAAAGACCUUGGUACUCAUAGGAGUUAACCUGACUGACUGUAUUUCUUAUCAUGCUACCCAGUUCAGUGGGUACAAUAAAUGCAGCAGAGUGAAUGCUAUGUUUUUGGAAGGCACAGCACUCAAGCGAUUCACUCAGCACAGCACAGGAGGUGGCAAGGAAGGAGAGAGAGACAGUGAGAGAUCAAUAUUGCACUUCAUGUUGGACUAAAAGUUGCCAAGAAGAAGCAGAAUGUGUGCAGAAGUGUAGAAGCAAGAAAUGGAUUUGCUCUUGUCAUGGCGAAGCAGUCGUGGAAAGAACAUCACGUGCACUCACUCACUCGGGACAGAAGGGGAGUCUUGUGCUAUUUGUCGGCAUCAAAGCCUCACUUCAGCCAGAUCUUCCCCUAAAGUUCCAAGACUCAAGUGGUUCUUCACAUCAGGAAUAAGAAUCAGCUGCAUGUGGAGUAAAGUUGAAUGCAUGAAGUUCGGUUUUGUGCCACCUCCCCUCACACACGCUCACAGCUCAGACGUACACAUACAAACAAGCAUACACCACACACGUCCAUGCACACUCCCCCCCCCCUUGAGCUGUGCCUACCCUUAUUGUGGCAUCCUGCAGUGAGCCACCUAAAGCCCUUACUUCACACUCGAAUAAUCGUAACUUCAAUUCUUCCUUAAUUAGUAGAGACAUCACCUCCAAAAUUUGAUGCAAAAUCUUGUUUAAGUACAGCCUCAUUACACCACUUUUAUUCCUCAGUAAAUACAGUUUUCACUUCCCAAAAAGGUCACUUUGAUUCAAGUGGUUUCUUCAGUUAAGUUUGUUUUCCUUUUUUAUCACUUUAAUUUCUUUCCCCGCUGCAUCACAUCUCCCUCGUCAGCCACACACGCGAGUCUCCCACUCACAGACGGGCAUCACGGUGCCACAGGCUCUGACCUACAGGAAAAUAAAGUCAUCUUGGAGGGCACCACUUCCUGCAGCAGUGUCCUGAGUGCGGCAGCAGCGGCUCCGACAACCCUCACGCUGUGCCGUGAGGAGGACGGAAUGUGUGGGGCAGCAAGGAUGCCCUUGCCUAAGUAGUUAUGUCACCUGAGGGAGCCUUGCCAUCUCCCUGCCUGACAAGGGCACCACUGCCUGCCUCGUAUAUGCUUGGUACAGUACAGAGCAAGGAUUUCCAGCAGUCACGGCCACGACUGUCCAGCUACGAGUAACAUCCACAAUCUCAUAAAAAAUGAAAUUCUGCAUGUAAUGUAAUAGUAACAAAGUAAUUAUUGCAGAUCUUCUCGAUGCAGGUGCCAGGCGCUGUGUCCCGGCAGUGGGGCGCCCCACACAACAACAAAACAAGGGAGGUGCCUUGCUGUGGCAUUCCACUGGGUCAUGGAGGCACCACUCUAGAGAACAUGAGGAUAUGACACAGGCCUCCGAGUCAGUCACUGUCACGGCACCACUGUCUGUGUGUCUCCAUCACAGAGUCUUGCAAGUGUUGUAAAGCGAAGCACUGUCUUGGGCCUGCCACAGCGCUGAGGGCCUGUCACUGCUCAAGACUCGAGAGGCAACACAGCUGCAGUCACAAUAUGGACCAGGAAAGCUGUGUGUGUGUGUGUGUGUGUGUGUGUGUGUGUGUGUGUGUGUGUGUGUGUGUGUGUGUGUGUGUGUGUGUGUGUGUGUGUGUCAGGAGUGCAGCAGAUGGGCAGGAAUAGUCCACUUCACUGGGUGUACUGAUGCUGUCUGGCUCCAUCCAUUCACUCCCCAGCAGGCAGCACCAGAGGGCAGCACCAGCCUGGCCAGCAGCCCAAGCAGCAGCAAAGGGAACACCCGGGGAGCCUCACACUAUGACCCGGCUGUUGAUGGGCUCAGCCACCCCAAACCAGCGCAGCUUGAAGGAACUGUCCCGCCAGCUGAUGACGGGGUUCCACAGUGCAUGAAGGAAGAUGAACAGAGCGCUCACCUCCCGGAACAGCCAGCUGAUCACAAACUCAAACUUGGUGAAGGGUGGAGGGCCAUUCUGAAGGAAGAGGAAAAGGUUGAUGUUUCUUUUACAAUUUUUACUUGUGUGUGAGAAUGUUUUGCUCUAGCUGUCAUCUUUUCUCAUUAUUUCUAUGCAUUUACAAGAGCAGAUGCAGACACAUGCACACACAAAAAGUUGUUCAGCAAAAGAAGCUUAGAAAUUCAGCAAAUAUUUCAAAAAAGCAAGAUAUUAUAGUUUCCUGUAUUCUUUUAAGCAAACUGUUAUUUUCUAAUAUGUUUAUGCGAAGUAAAGAAAGUCUCAAGAAUACUGUAUUGCAUCUUUGCACUAUAAACCUAAACUCUAACACUAAUAAAGGUGAGAAUUACUGAA